GUAGGUGGCAAGCGUUGUCCGGAAUUAUUGGGCGUAAAGCGCGCGCAGGUGGUUCUUUAAGUCUGAUGUGAAAGCCCCCGGCUCAACCGGGGAGGGUCAUUGGGAAACUGGGGAACUUGAGUGCAGGAGAGGAAAGUGGAAUUCCACGUGUAGCGGUGAAAUGCGUAGAUAUGUGGAGGAACACCAGUGGCGAAGGCGACUUUCUGGCCUGUAACUGACACUGAGGCGCGAAAGCGUGGGGAGCAAACAGGGAUUAGAUACCCUGGUAGUCCACGCCGUAAACGAUGAGUGCUAAGUGUUGGGGGGGUUUCCCGCCCCUCAGUGCUGCAGCUAACGCAUUAAGCACUCCGCCUGGGGAUACGGUCGCAAGACUG
rnacentral:rRNA from 1 species